rnacentral:piRNA from 1 species
UGUGUGUGUGUGAAUACAAACUUUGAAAGU